rnacentral:rRNA from 1 species
UACGUAGGGUGCAAGCGUUAUCCGGAAUUAUUGGGCGUAAAGAGCUCGUAGGCGGUUUGUCGCGUCUGCUGUGAAAACCCGGGGCUCAACUUCGGGCUUGCGGUCGAUACGGGCGGGCUAGAGUUCGGUAGGGGAGACUGGAAUUCCUGGUGUAGCGGUGAAAUGCGCAGAUAUCAGGAGGAACACCGGUGGCGAAGGCGGGUCUCUGGGCCGAUACUGACGCUGAGGAGCGAAAGCGUGGGGAGCGAACAGG